AUUGAACGCUGGCGGCAGGCCUAACACAUGCAAGUCGAACGGUAACAGGAAACAGCUUGCUGUUUCGCUGACGAGUGGCGGACGGGUGAGUAAUGUCUGGGAAACUGCCUGAUGGAGGGGGAUAACUACUGGAAACGGUAGCUAAUACCGCAUAACGUCGCAAGACCAAAGAGGGGGACCUUCGGGCCUCUUGCCAUCGGAUGUGCCCAGAUGGGAUUAGCUAGUAGGUGGGGUAGCGGCUCACCUAGGCGACGAUCCCUAGCUGGUAUGAGAAGAUGACCAGCCACACUGGAACUGAGACACGGUCCAGACUCCUACGGGAGGCAGCAGUGGGGAAUAUUGCACAAGGGGCGCAAGCCUGAUGCAGCCAUGCCGCGUGUAUGAAGAAGGCCUUCGGGUUGUAAAGUACUUUCAGCGGGGAGGAAGGGAGUAAAGUUAAUACCUUUGCUCAUUGACGUUACCCGCAGAAGAAGCACCGGCUAACUCCGUGCCAGCCGCCGCGGUAA
rnacentral:rRNA from 1 species